rnacentral:tRNA from 2 species
GGUAAAAUGGCUGAGAGUCCAAGUGGUGGGUUGUAGCCCCAUGAACAGAGGUUUAAGUCCUCUUUUUACCA